AUUGAACGCUGGCGGCAUGCCUUACACAUGCAAGUCGAACGGUAACAGGUUAAGCUGACGAGUGUCGAACGGGUGAGUAAUGUAUCGGAACGUGCCCAGUCGUUGGGGAUAACUGCUCGAAAGAGCAGCUAAUACCGCAUACGACCUGAGUGUGAAAGCGGGGGAUCGCAAGACCUCGCGCGAUUGGAUCUGCCGAUAUCCGAUUAGGUAGUUGGUGAGGUAAAGGCUCACCAAGCCGACGAUCUGUAGCUGGUCUGAGAGGACGACCAGCCACACUGGGACUGAGACACGGCCCAGACUCCUACGGGAGGCAGCAGUGGGGAAUAUUGGACAAUGGGCGAAAGCCUGAUCCAGCCAUGCCGCGUGCGGGAAGAAGGCAUUCGGAUUGUAAACCGCUUUUGGCAGGGAAGAAAAGUUGCUGGCUAAUACCUGGGACUCAUGACGGUACCUGAAGAAUAAGCACCGGCUAACUACGUG
rnacentral:rRNA from 1 species